rnacentral:rRNA from 2 species
GUAACGAGCGCAACCCUUGUCCUUAGUUACCAGCACGUUAUGGUGGGCACUCUAAGGAGACUGCCGGUGACAAACCGGAGGAAGGUGGGGAUGACGUCAAGUCAUCAUGGCCCUUACGGCCUGGGCUACACACGUGCUACAAUGGUCGGUACAGAGGGUUGCCAAGCCGCGAGGUGGAGCUAAUCCCACAAAACCGAUCGUAGUCCGGAUCGCAGUCUGCAACUCGACUGCGUGAAGUCGGAAUCGCUAGUAAUCGCGAAUCAGAAUGUCGCGGUGAAUACGUUCCCGGGCCUUGUACACACCGCCCGUCACACCAUGGGAGUGGGUUGCACCAGAAGUAG